AUUUCAUUCAGAUUCCUCAAAAAAUUAAGACAGGAGUCCAAAAUGUAUUCAAAUGAGAAAUCUGUACCCUCUCCUUUUAUGUGGGACCGAACAUUUUGUGGAAUUUGAAGAAUUCUAAUAAACUUUCAAUGUUCAGGAUUUCUGAAAAACCUGGAGAAUCCCUGUGAUGAACGUGAAGAAGUUGGAGCGGAGAAAGUUGAAACUGAAACUACACAUGAAAAUUCGAAAUUUCUCCUACGUUUCUAAAAUUCUUGAUUAUUUAUCCUUAUACUAAAGAAUCAAUGUCCCGAAUUAUAUAACCCUAUAUAAUCUUUUAAUCUUAUCAAGCCAUGAGAAAUGUUAAUCAUGAGCUUUUUUAUACAGAAUUCUUUAUCUUAUUGAGAUUACACAAGAAAGAAAACUUUUAAUUUGAGAGUAAAGAUUUUAUUUUAUAUAACAAAGAUUCUAAUUUUGAAAUAAUAAUUUUACCUUGAAAACUAUAUAUCGUCUUUUUCAGGCGAAGAAUGGGUUGAUUAUAUUUAUAACCCUAUCAAGUCUCCAGGUCUCAGCUUUUACGAAAUCUUAGAUUAAGCGUGUUCUCCAUAACUUCAACCAUCCUACAAAUCUACCACCUACAACAUCAUCCUACAAUCUUCAUUCGUCGAGUAAAUGAAACUCAGGACCGUCUCUACCCUGAUGUUCAUAUACUCCUCCGUCUGACAGAUCUGAUGGAGUAAAUACUCUCAACCUGGAGAAGUCUUCUGAUGUCGUCUUCUAUCUUCAGAACUACUCUAGACUCCGUUGGCCGUCUUCCACCAUCGUGAUUCUUCCUGACCAUCUUCCUGAGCAUGUAAAUGUGAGCUCACCUCCUCUUAUCCAAGUCUCGGAGUGCUGAUUGAUCUGACCGAGCUGCCUCCGACUGGACAACACAGAUUUCGAGGACUUAUGUUGGAACGUCAUAUGCUUUAGACGUGUCCUGUUAAGAUUCCUCAAGAUCAGAGAACAAUAUCAAGGACGUCGUCUUCCCCUUGGUUCUCCGAUACUCUCCUUCACUGCUUUAAGGAUUGCACCUAAAGACUCAAAAGGACUCUGAAUGAAGCAUAAGAUAACCUCUCUCUGAACUGUAGCUCAUAUCAAGACCCCAGCCCGAGCAACUUUGUAAGUGUGUUUUUAAAUACUGAACUCUUUGCCAAUAUGAUUUUUAAUGAUUCAAAAAACUAAAUUUCUUUAUUGAGACCUGGAGCAAAUUUUUGUAAACAUAUACGUAUAAAUUCUGUUAUAUUAUAAUAAUUUAAUUUCAGUUCACAGUGUGAGAGCUGAAGUUGAGGAUAAACUACUUCAAUAAAGCUUAUAUAAACAUAACACUCGUGUAUUAAUGUGGUGCGCUGGUUAUAAGGGAAUACUCGCCCUAGAUAUGAGUGAGCUUUUAUGUUUUUAAAGUCUCAAAAACAACGUUACGAGUACACAUUUGCCUUGAAAAAUAUUUG
rnacentral:lncRNA from 1 species